UACAGAGGGGGCAAGCGUUGUUCGGAAUUACUGGGCGUAAAGGGCGCGUAGGCGGCCAACUAAGUCGAACGUGAAAUCCCCGGGCUCAACCCGGGAACUGCGUCCGAUACUGGUUGGCUUGAAUCCGGGAGAGGGAUGCGGAAUUCCAGGUGUAGCGGUGAGAUGCGUAGAUAUCAGGUGGAACACCAGUGGCGAAGGCGGCUUUCUGGACGGUAACUGACGCUGAGGCGCGAAAGCGUGGGGAGCAAACAGG
rnacentral:rRNA from 1 species